GACGAACCGUGCGAACGUUGUUCGGAAUCACUGGGCUUAAAGGGCGCGUAGGCGGCUUGCCAAGUCGGGGGUGAAAUCCGGCAGCUUAACUGUCGAAGUGCCUUCGAUACUGGCGAGCUCGAGGGAGGUAGGGGUCUGUGGAACUUCUGGUGGAGCGGUGAAAUGCGUAGAUAUCAAGAGGAACACCUGAGGCGAAGGCGGGUUGCUAGGCUGACACUGACGCUGAAGCGCGAAAGCUAGGGUAGCAAACGGG
rnacentral:rRNA from 1 species